AGAAUCAACGCUGGCGGCGUGCCUCAGACAUGCAAGUCGAACGCGAAAGUUUCCUUCGGGAAGCGAGUAGAGUGGCGCACGGGUGAGUAACACGUAGGUAAUCUACCUUUGGGUGGGGAAUAACAGCCGGAAACGGCUGCUAAUACCGCAUAAUGCAGCGGCUCGACAUCGAGACAGUUGUUAAAGCGGGGGAUUCGUAAGAACCUCGCGCCUAAAGAGGAGCCUGCGGCGGAUUAGCUAGUUGGUAAGGUAAUGGCUUACCAAGGCAUCGAUCCGUA
rnacentral:rRNA from 1 species